rnacentral:rRNA from 1 species
AAACGUAGGGGGCAAGCGUUGUCCGGAAUUAUUGGGCGUAAAGAGCACGUAGGUGGCUUACCAAGUCAGGUGUGAAAACCUUAGGCUCAACUUAAGGCUUGCAUUUGAAACUGGUAGGCUAGAGUUCAAUAGGGGGAAGUGGAAUUCCCGGUGUAGCGGUGAAAUGCGCAGAUAUCGGGAAGAACACCAGUAGCGAAGGCGGCUUCCUAGAUUGUGACUGACACUGAGGUGCGAAAGCUAGGGUAGCAAACAGGAUUAGAUACCCCAGUAGUCC